rnacentral:rRNA from 1 species
CAGCAGCCGCGGGAAUACGAAGGGGGCUAGCGUUGUUCGGAUUUACUGGGCGUAAAGCGCACGUAGGCGGAUCGAUCAGUCAGGGGUGAAAUCCCAGAGCUCAACUCUGGAACUGCCUUUGAUACUGUCGAUCUGGAGUAUGGAAGAGGUGAGUGGAAUUCCGAGUGUAGAGGUGAAAUUCGCAGAUAUUCGGAGGAACACCAGUGGCGAAGGCGGCUCACUGGUCCAUUACUGACGCUGAGGUGCGAAAGCGUGGGGAGCAAACAGGAUUAGAGACCCCUGUAGUCCCUGUCUCUUAUAA